rnacentral:rRNA from 1 species
ACGAACGCUGGCGGCGUGCUUAACACAUGCAAGUCGAACGGAAAGGCCCUGCUUUUGUGGGGUGCUCGAGUGGCGAACGGGGGAGUAACACGUGAGUAACCUGCCCCUGACCUUGGGAUAACUUCAGGAAACCGGGGCUAAUACCGGAUAGGAGCUCCUGCUGCAUGGUGGGGGGUGGAAAGUUUCGGCGGUUGGGGAUGGACUCGCGGCUUAUCAGCUUGUUGGUGGGGUAGUGGCUUACCAAGGCUUUGACGGGUAGCCGGCCUGAGAGGGUGACCGGCCACAUUGGGACUGAGAUACGGCCCAGACUCCUACGGGAGGCAGCAGUGGGGAAUAUUGCACAAUGGGCGGAAGCCUGAUGCAGCAACGCCGCGUGCGGGAUGACGGCCUUCGGGUUGUAAACCGCUUUCGCCUGUGACGAAGCGUGAGUGACGGUAAUGGGUAAAGAAGCACCGGCUAACUACGUG